rnacentral:rRNA from 1 species
GAUGAACGCUGGCGGUCUGCUUAACACAUGCAAGUCGAACGGAAUCCUUCGGGAUUUAGUGGCGGACGGGUGAGUAACACGUGAGAAUCUGCACUCAGGAUGGGGACAACAGCGGGAAACUGCUGCUAAUACCCAAUGUGCCGAAAGGUAAAAGAUUUAUCGCCUGAGAAUGAGCUCGCGGCCGAUUAGUUAGUUGGUGGGGUAAUGGCCUACCAAGACGGCGAUCGGUAGCUGGUCUGAGAGGAUGAGCAGCCACACUGGGACUGAGACACGGCCCAGACUCCUACGGGAGGCAGCAGUGGGGAAUUUUCCGCAAUGGGCGCAAGCCUGACGGAGCAAGACCGCGUGGGGGAGGAAGGCUCUUGGGUUGUAAACCCCUUUUCUCAGGGAAGAAGUUCUGACGGUACCUGAGGAAUCAGCCUCGGCUAACUCCGUGCCAGCAGCCGCCGCGGUAA